rnacentral:rRNA from 1 species
AUUGAACGCUGGCGGCAUGCCUUACACAUGCAAGUCGAACGGCAGCACGGGGGCAACCCUGGUGGCGAGUGGCGGACGGGUGAGUAAUGCAUCGGAACGUGCCCUGAAGUGGGGGAUAACGCAGCGAAAGCUACGCUAAUACCGCAUAUUCUGUGAGCAGGAAAGCAGGGGAUCGCAAGACCUUGCGCUUUGGGAGCGGCCGAUGUCGGAUUAGCUAGUUGGUGGGGUAAAGGCCGUACCAAGGCGACGAUCCGUAGCGGGUCUGAGAGGAUGAUCCGCCACACUGGGACUGAGACACGGCCCAGACUCCUACGGGAGGCAGCAGUGGGGAAUUUUGGACAAUGGGCGAAAGCCUGAUCCAGCCAUGCCGCGUGAGUGAAG